rnacentral:rRNA from 1 species
UUGACGGGGGCCCGCACAAGCGGCGGAGCAUGCGGAUUAAUUCGAUGCAACGCGAAGAACCUUACCUGGGUUUGACAUGGAUCGGGAGCUUCCAGAGAUGGUUGUGCCUCUUUUGGGGUCGGUUCACAGGUGGUGCAUGGCUGUCGUCAGCUCGUGUCGUGAGAUGUUGGGUUAAGUCCCGCAACGAGCGCAACCCUCGUCCACUGUUGCCAGCAAUUCGGUUGGGGACUCAGUGGAGACCGCCGGGGUCAACUCGGAGGAAGGUGGGGAUGACGUCAAGUCAUCAUGCCCCUUAUGUCCAGGGCUUCACGCAUGCUACAAUGGCCGGUACAGUGAGUUGCGACAUCGUAAGGUGGAGCGAAUCUCAAAAAGCCGGUCUCAGUUCGGAUUGGGGUCUGCAACUCGACCUCAUGAAGUCGGAGUCGCUAGUAAUCGCAGAUCAGCAACGCUGCGGUGAAUACG